UAUGUGAUCGUCUCUCGCAUAUCAAUAAGCGGAGGAAAAGAAACUAACAAGGAUUCCCCUAGUAACGGCGAGUGAAGCGGGAAGAGCUCAAAUUUGAAAUCUUAAAGGGUUUCCCUUUACGAAUUGUAGUUUAAAGAAGUGUUUUCUGUUGAGGUUUUGGUAAAAGUUCUUUGGAAUAGGGACAUCAUAGAGGGUGAGAAUCCCGUAUUUGACCUUUACUUUCAACUUUGUGAUACACUUUCAAAGAGUCGGAUUGUUUGGGAAUGCAGUCCAAAAUGGGUGGUAAAUUUCAUCUAAAGCUAAAUAUUGGCGAGAGACCGAUAGCGAACAAGUACCGUGAGGGAAAGAUGAAAAGAACUUUGAAAAGAGAGUUAAACAGUACGUGAAAUUGUCAAAAGGGAAGCGUUUGACACCAGUGUUGUUUUUCUGAAAAUCAAUUAAAGAACUGUUUAUGCUAAGCUGUUUAGACUUUAUCAGCUAACUGUUUAGUUUUGAGCUUUUCUUUAAUACACUUUUCAGUUAACAAGUCAACAUCAAUUUCUUUUGCUGUAAAAAAGCUUGAGGAAGGUGGCUUGAGAUUCGUCUUAAGUGUUUAUAGCCUCUUGCCUAUGCAGUCGGAGAGAUUGAGGUCUGCAGCGUAGAUCCUUCGGGGCUAAAUGCAUUUGUGCUAAGUUAUAGCAUUUUAUAGACAACUUGUUGACUAUGAUUUGUCUUGUAGCUUACUCGCUUAUGUUAUUUUACCUACGCUUAGGAUGUUGAACGCGCACAGAGUCUC
rnacentral:rRNA from 1 species